rnacentral:tRNA from 1 species
GGGCCAUUAGCUCAGUUGGUUAGAGCAUCUGCCUCUUAAGCAGAGUGUCCUGGGUUCGAAUCCCAGAUGGCCCUCCA